rnacentral:rRNA from 1 species
AUGUUGGAUAAGGACAGACCAAGGGCUCAGCAUAGUCCGCGGUCUCUCCAUAUAUUGCUCAAGUUGAUGCAAUUAAAAGUCGACCUGCCAAAAAAAUAUGACACAUAUGAUGGCUUUCAUGUGCGGGUGAAGUCCAUUGAUGAUUUCCAAAGAGAAGAUGAUACAUCAAUACUAUCAACUGUUAAGAGAGGAGUUGUAGGAUUUCUUGCUGAUAACCAAAGAGCAAAUGUUGCUCUUACUAGAGCAAGGUGUGCAUCAAUUUAUUCGGGACCCCUUGUUUUAUUGCUGCUCAAAGUAUGUCAGACCGAUUCUUCAAAUUAUCAGACCUUGUUGCUGCAGAGAGAUGUAAAUGUGUUUUCAGUGCCACUAAUGAUGCAACCAUCUGUAAGUUGGUUCUGCAAGUAA